AUUGAACGCUGGCGGCAUGCCUUACACAUGCAAGUCGAACGGCAGCACGGGUGCUUGCCCCUGGUGGCGAGUGGCGAACGGGUGAGUAAUACAUCGGAACAUGUCCUGUAGUGGGGGAUAGCCCGGCGAAAGCCGGAUUAAUACCGCAUACGAUCUACGGAUGAAAGCGGGGGACCUUCGGGCCUCGCGCUAUAGGGUUGGCCGAUGGCUGAUUAGCUAGUUGGUGGGGUAAAGGCCUACCAAGGCGACGAUCAGUAGCUGGUCUGAGAGGACGACCAGCCACACUGGGACUGAGACACGGCCCAGACUCCUACGGGAGGCAGCAGUGGGGAAUUUUGGACAAUGGGCGAAAGCCUGAUCCAGCAAUGCCGCGUGUGUGAAGAAGGCCUUCGGGUUGUAAAGCACUUCUGUCCGGAAAGAAAUCCUUGGCCCUAAUACGGUCGGGGGAUGACGGUACCGGAAGAAUAAGCACCGGCUAACUACGUG
rnacentral:rRNA from 1 species